rnacentral:rRNA from 1 species
AUGUUAUUAACCGUUCGAAACUUUAAUACAACCUUUUUUGAUCCUGCAGGAGGGGGAGACCCAAUAUUAUACCAGCAUCUCUUUUGGUUCUUCGGUCAUCCAGAGGUGUAUAUUCUCAUUCUUCCUGGAUUUGGUAUUAUUAGUCAUAUCGUAUCGACCUUUUCAAGAAAACCGGUCUUCGGGUAUCUAGGCAUGGUUUAUGCCAUGAUAAGUAUAGGUGUUCUUGGAUUUCUAGUUUGGGCUCAUCAUAUGUUUACUGUGGGCUUAGACGUUGAUACGCGUGCCUACUUCACCGCAGCUACCAUGAUCAUAUCAUGUGCCCACAGGAAUCAAAAUCUUUAG